GACGAACGCUGGCGGCGUGCCUAAUACAUGCAAGUCGAACGCAGUGGGGACGGGUGAGUAACACGUGUGUAACCUCUCAUCAAAGGGGAUAAAACUUGGAAACAGGUGCUAAACCGAUAUUGAUGGAUGUACCCGCGGUGCAUUAGCUAGUUGGUGAGGUAACGGCUCACCAAGUCCACGAUGCAUAGCCGACCUGAGAGGAUGAUCAGCCACACUGGGACUGAGACACGGCCCAGACUCCUACGGGAGUCAUCAGUGGGGAAUCUUCGGCAAUGGACGAAAGUCUGACCGAGCAACGCCGCGUGAGUGAAGAAGGUUUUCGGAUCGGAAAGCUCUGUUGUUAGAGAGGCGGUAUCUAACCAGAAAGCCACGGCUAACUACGUGCCAGCAGCCGCGGUAAUUC
rnacentral:rRNA from 1 species